rnacentral:rRNA from 1 species
CAGUAGCGUAUCUUAAAGUUGUUGCAGUUAAAAAGCUCGUAGUUGGAUUUCGGGUUGGCUUCAGCGGUCUCGCUUUGCGUUUGUACUGCCGCAGCCUUCCUUCUUGCUGGGGACGGUCCUCCGGGCUUCAUUGCUUGGGGUCUGGAAUCAGCGACGUUACUUUGAGUAAAUUAGAGUGUUCAAAGCAAGCCUACGCUCUGAAUAUAAUAGCAUGGGAUAACACGACAGGACUCUGGCCUAUCGUGUUGGUCUGUAGGACCAGAGUAAUGAUUAAGAGGGACAGUCGGGGGCAUUCGUAUUCCGUUGUCAGAGGUGAAAUUCUUGGAUUUACGGAAGACGAACAUCUGCGAAAGCAUUUGCCAAGGAUGUUUUCAUUGA